UACGUAGGUGGCAAGCGUUAUCCGGAAUUAUUGGGCGUAAAGCGCGCGUAGGCGGUUUUUUAAGUCUGAUGUGAAAGCCCACGGCUAAACCGUGGAGGGUCAUUGGAAACUGGAAAACUUGAGUGCAGAAGAGGAAAGUGGAAUUCCAUGUGUAGCGGUGAAAUGCGCAGAGAUAUGGAGGAACACCAGUGGCGAAGGCGACUUUCUGGUCUGUAACUGACGCUGAUGUGCGAAAGCGUGGGGAUCAAACAGGAUUAGAUACCCCGGUAGUCCCU
rnacentral:rRNA from 1 species